UUAAAGAAAUAAGCUUUGCCUAUGAAGUUUUGUCGAAUCCAGAAAAGAGAGAUAUGUACGAUCGUUUUGGAGAGCAGGGUCUACGAGAAGGUGGAGGGGGUGGUGGAAUGGAUGACAUCUUUUCACACAUUUUUGGUGGAGGACUUUUCAGCUUUAUGGGUGGCCACAAUAGAAAUCGAAAUGGCAGACGGAGAGGAGAAGACAUGCUUCACCCACUCAAAGUAUCUUUAGAAGAUCUGUAUAAUGGAAAGACAACUAAAUUACAACUUAG